GAUUCUGGCUCAGAACGAACGCUGGCGGCAUGGAUUAGGCAUGCAAGUCGAACGGGAGCAGCAAUGCUCCAGUGGCGCAAGGGUGAGGAACACGUGAACAACCUGCCUUCGAGUUGGGGAUAGCUUCUGGAAACGGGAGAUAAUACCGAAUAACAUCAUUGGAUCGCAUGAUUUGAUGAUCAAAGCAGCAAUGCGCUUGAAGAGGGGUUCGCGUCCCAUUAGCUAGUUGGUGAGGUAACGGCCCACCAAGGCGAUGAUGGGUAGCUGGUCUGAGAGGACGAUCAGCCACAUUGGGACUGAGAUACUGCCCAGACUCCUACGGGAGGCUGCAGUCGAGUAAUUUUGGGCAAUGGACGAAAGUCUGACCCAAGCAAUGCCGCGUGCGGGAUGAAGGUCUUCGGAUUGUAAACCGCUGUCAAGAGGGACGAAACAUGACGGUACCUCUGGAGGAAGCCACGGCUAACUACGUGCCAGCAGCGGC
rnacentral:rRNA from 1 species